CAGUCGCCACGGUAAUACGUAGGUGGCAAGCGUUGUCCGGAAUUAUUGGGCGUAAAGGGCUCGCAGGCGGUUUCUUAAGUCUGAUGUGAAAGCCCCCGGCUCAACCGGGGAGGGUCAUUGGAAACUGGGAAACUUGAGUGCAGAAGAGGAGAGUGGAAUUCCACGUGUAGCGGUGAAAUGCGUAGAGAUGUGGAGGAACACCAGUGGCGAAGGCGACUCUCUGGUCUGUAACUGACGCUGAGACGCGAAAGCCAGGGGAGUGAACGGGAUUAGAUACCCCUGUAGUCCCUGUCUCUUAUAC
rnacentral:rRNA from 1 species